GGGGUAGUAUACCCUCGCUCUGAUAAGGCGUAGAAAGGUUAGUAGGUACCACGUUGGUUCGAUUCCAACCUACCCCACCA
rnacentral:tRNA from 1 species